CCCGCCCCUGGCGUGCCUGCCCUUGGUUCCGCCCGGCAGCCAGGCCGGCAGGCCUGCGAGGCCCCGCUCCAUCGCAAAUAAGGUUUCUUUGAGAUUUCUGUGAGGAGCGGGCCCCUGUGCUGACGCAGGCGGAGCGGUGGAGCUGGAGACUCGAGAGCAGAGGGUGUGGCUCCCGCGCGAGGCUGUCAGGCUGCUGCCCAAGCAGAACCGUCGUGGGAGUUGGCGUGUGAAAAUGAUACACUUGGAGAAGAAGAAAGACAACCUGAAUGGCAGAUGCUUUGAGUUAUUUUAAAGACCCGUCUGGAAUGAAAGGUCCUGGCAAAGACAUCCUCUGUGGGUCGGCGUCAUGCUUGUGUCUUUGCCACUGUCUUCACUCAUCCACAUGGUAGAGAUCAAAGCUUCCAGAAGCUUCAAACAUGGCUAUCCAGAAAUAAGGGGCCUUCGGAAUGUGAAGGACACCACAUCACGUAUUCCAUCAAGAAGGCAAGUAAGACUGGUUCUCGAGUGACAAGGCAUCGCUGAGCAAAGAAAUCGACAGUCAGGAGCCUGGCCUGCACACAGCUUCCAUUCGUUGCCACGUCUUCACUCGCUCUCUGUGAAGGUGAGAGUCCAGGAGGCCACGUCCUGACCAACCCAGCGUGUGAGAACCGUGGCAUCAUCAGGAAAACCGUGCAUUAUGUGUGAGUGUCUGCGGUAUCUUUGAAUGGCGUUUUAUCGCUCGUGGAUAAGAAGUCCAGACGGAAUUAUGUCCUAUUCAUGUACGUAAAAUAACUACUGUAUUUGUGGGGUUCUUUCUCUCUUUUGGCCACUCUUGUAAAUAUUAUGACCGUAUUAUGAAGUUUUACCUCGUGUAACGUGUUCACAGUAUUAGUGCCAAAUUUAAGAAUUCUUUCAGCCAUCGAUCGUAAACACACUCUUUACUUAAGAAAUUGCCUUUGAUGCUUCUAAGUCUCCAUUCCUUUGUAGAAUAACACCCAGGAUGAAGACCAUUUUACUAAGUUCUGUGUCCCCGACCACCCAACGUUGUACCUAAAAGCUAUU
rnacentral:lncRNA from 1 species